AAAGUCGUAACAAGGUUUCCGUAGGUGAACCUGCGGAAGGAUCAUUAUCAAUCCAAAUCUUCAACCCCAUGUGAACUGAUGUACUGUCCUUGGGGGGAGAACGUCUUAAAGAGUUUACCCUCUUUGAAUGUAAUCCCCCCAUGUUUAAUGAACCACUUUGGUCUUUCGUUGGAAUAACUUUUAUUAGCAAUAAUAGAAGACAACUUUUAACGGUGGAUCUCUUGGCUCGU
rnacentral:misc_RNA from 1 species